rnacentral:rRNA from 1 species
CUUAGUAGCGGCGAGUGAAGCGGCAAAAGCUCAAAUUUGAAAUCUGGCACCUUCGGUGUCCGAGUUGUAAUUUGAAGAUUGUAACCUUGGGGUUGGCUCUUGUCUAUGUUUCUUGGAACAGGACGUCACAGAGGGUGAGAAUCCCGUGCGAUGAGAUGCCCAAUCCUAUGUAAGGUGCUUUCGAAGAGUCGAGUUGUUUGGGAAUGCAGCUCUAAGUGGGUGGUAAAUUCCAUCUAAAGCUAAAUAUUGGCGAGAGACCGAUAGCGAACAAGUACAGUGAUGGAAAGAUGAAAAGAACUUUGAAAAGAGAGUGAAAAAGUACGUGAAAUUGUUGAAAGGGAAGGGUUUGAGAUCAGACUCGAUAUUUUGUGAGCCUUGCCUUCGUGGCGGGGUGACCCGCAGCUUAUCGGGCCAGCAUCGGUUUGGGCGGUAGGAUAAUGGCGUAGGAAUGUGACUUUGCUUCGGUGAAGUGUUAUAGCCUGCGUUGAUGCUGCCUGCCUAGACCGAGGACUGCGA